GAUAAUAGAAAGUUUUACUAAAUUAUAUAAAAUGUUGUAAAUAAAUAAUAGUUUUACAUAAAAAUAAAUAUAUCUCUUAAUUUAGUAAUGCAUUAAUACAUAUUGCGUACUUUCGGUAAAUACAAAUACAUCAUACCUUGUUAAACUAUCAAUUUGAACCAGAAGCACCUUUGUAAUUACACACUACACUAGUUAUAAUAAUUUCCUUAUCCAGGAAUAAUCUAUCAUUUGCACAUAUUGAUAUACGGUCGAAUAAAUUUGUUUUGAUAAUCAACACAUAGAGCUUUGUUGAUGCUUUGUUUAAUCAUUAAAAAUAUUAUUCAAAUAUUAAAAAAGACUAAUCUUACAGUAAUUUGUGUAACUGUCUUUUAUUUUAUGAAACCGUUAUUAAAGAAUUUGUAUUUUUUUAUUAUGCAAAGUUAUGUACUAUUAUAAUAUAAUUCUUUAUAAAAAUGUAAAUCUUUAUAAAAAGCAGCGAGUGAUUCAAUAGAGCAUAAUAAUAUGUUUAAAUCGCACUGGGUGUAAGUGCGAGAUUUUAUUAGUUAUAAUAAUUGUACGAUUUUUAUUACACAGAUAAAAAUUCCAUCGAUAUACUCUUUAAAAAGUUUGAAAUAUCAGUUUAAUUUAAAAUGAAACAAUGGUUUGAUUUUAAAGUGAACAAAAGACCAUCAUUUAAAUGAUAAUGUUAAAAAUCGACAACACAAAUCUAUUAAAUUAGUUUAACGCAUGAAUUUGCAUAUCUAAAUCUAAAUCUUCUUAUCGCUAAUAUUUAUUGAUUGGAUCAUUAAAUACCUUGUGAAUAUCCUACUUUGUUUGCAAUAGUAGCAAUAAAAGAUAUCACUUUAAUGGUAUUAUAGCUCAUCUAACAUUAACAUUUAACACGUUAUUCUCAACUUAAUUUAAUUAAAUAUAAUUGGUAAUGAAAUAUAAACAUGGAAUUUUUUAUAAUUUAAUUUAAAGUUUUAAUUAUUCAAACAUCUAGUCCACUGAAGUCGCAAUUUUUAUUUCAUCAGGUGUCUUCGAUGAAAAUGCGAAAUAGUGAUAGACGUCUGUUGAUUGCUCCUUGCUACCUCGCGCUUUUUAUCCUUAUUUUGGGAUUUUAAGCACGAGUAGCUCUUCAUUGUUUCGGCCAUCUGUUGUGUGUGGAAAUCGGUUCCACGUGCCGCGUGCGUGGUCGCACGUGCCUGUUCGUGGGCGCGCGCUUGCUCGCGCGCGGUGCCGCGCCGCGGUUCAUUGUUCUAGCGCCUGUCGGGUUGCUAUCUGAUUAUUAUACUUUAUAAUACACUUCAUUGAUCUAUUUUAAGCUUUUGACGCAACGUAAUUAUAAGUUGAUAAUUAUUAUAGUGUGUCUAAUUAUAAAAUAUCUUUUACACAGUCUUUAGCUCUUGUCAGAGCGUGAUCAGACCUCUCAACGUAUUUCUGUGGUAUGCGCUGUUUAUAAUUUACACAGAUAUACGGGACCUAUUUAAACGCCGAACGGCCUCAUCUAGGGCUGCGUUUAGAAACAUCAAAAAUAUAAUUUUAUCCUUGUUUACUGAAUGUUAAACAGAGAUAGAAAAAUAUCUAGAUGCACCCGGGCGAUGUUUCUGAACGCAGCCCAGAGGGAUGUUUUAGAAGCAUCUAAUGGAGACACAUGGGUUCAACGUGCUGAUGGCAAAACAUUUGCUCCUAUAAAAAUUGGAGCAUUCUUUACUGAAGUGUUUACAUAAGCUGCAGCAAUUUCCUUCAUUUUUAUAAGUACGAAAUGCUCCAAUUUAAAUAGGAGAAAAUAUUUUUCCAUUUUUUUUUUUUUUUCAAACGGCCUUAUCUAGAAGGCAAGACACUCUCGGUUUGUUGUUGCCUUUCGAGAUGUAGCAAUCGAAUAAAAACAGAUAUGUUGGAUCACGUGAGAUUUGAACCCAUGGAUCUUCAGCACACACAGUAGACGCACAAUUCUCUGCGCCACGAUCGCUACGAUAUAUAAUACUCAAAACAAUACUAAAAUACUGUAGCUAUAGGGUCAUAUCUGGGUAUAAAGUCUCCUGUGUAUAAGCUCGGUAUUUGGCGCCUUUCCUUCUUCCCUGCUAUAUAAGGUAAAAAAUGCGGUAUGUGUAUAACGUGAUACAAAUUUUUUAUUCCAAAAUAUGUAACAUACAUGCUCGUAAGUCAUUUGUUGAAUUGAUGUGAGCAGUCUUUAAAAAUCAAUAACAAAUGUAUAUCUAUAAUAUGCUGAACAAAUAUUAAAAAAUACACAAAUACAUAUAAAUAUUGUAAUUAAAUAUAGUAGUCAAUAAAUAUUUACGCGCCUAGCUUUUAACUUAACAAAAUCAUUAAUAAUGUUGUUUAUAUCUAGAGAAUCAUACAGUGAAAACUCAAUCGAAAUUAAGUUACUAUUUAUAGGUAAGAAUUAAUAACACUGUGGCUUCAAUAUUAUUGUGCUUUUAAUUACUAAUUACGCACAAUAUUAUUAAUAAUUAAUGAGGUAAAAGAAAUACAAUUUUUCUAUAAUUAUGAAUGCUAAUAAGCUACUCGUCUGUCUCAGAUAAUCCUAUUAUCGUUUCAUGGACUAUUAUUCCGUGAACUGUGAUGUCUUAGUUGCCUGGCUUUUGUAGCUGCAACCAGAUAUAAUCCAGUAACAUUGCUUGCACAUUUCACAUUAUUGGAGUAAAAAUCGCUCUGGAGGAAAACUGCUCUUAUCUUUGUCGCGGUUGUGGAAUGGAGACGUCUGGCAAGCGUCAGGCGUGACUGGUAGUUAACAGGAUGGCCGUAUUUCCUGCUGGAGAGGAGAUCGAUCGAGGCGAGAAUCGAAAUUGCGAUGGCCUAGAGAAUAAUCGAGGGCAAAGACUCGAAUGGUAGAACCACGUAAUGGCGGUGAGCCGGCCAAUAUUGAGUUAUGCUAGACCGGGAUUGGCACCGAAUACUAGAUCGAGCGACAUUACGCAUUUAGGUAUUGCGGAUGAACGGCCGCAAGCUGAGAGUGCUCGACCCUCGCGUCAAAUUCUAAAUGACCAACACUCAAUGAGAUUUAUGAAAUUCUUCGCGCGUGAGAAAUAUCAAUUCUCUUGUGUAUAUACGACACGCAAUUUUUAUAUAUAGAGAAAAGCUUGCUUGUUUUAUAAAAAAAAAAAAACUUAUAUAAUAUCUAAUAAUGUGUAACAUGCAUACGUAAUAAGAUCUGAUAUUUAAAAUUAAUAAUUAUUUACGAAAAAUUUGGAUACAUUCGAUGGAAAAUUGUAAUAAAAUGAAUUUAAUUUUCUCAGUUCGUA